AUUGAACGCUGGCGGCAGGCCUAACACAUGCAAGUCGAACGGCAGCGGGGGGAAGCUUGCUUCCCCGCCGGCGAGUGGCGGACGGGUGAGUAAUGCCUGGGGAGCUGCCCAAUGGAGGGGGAUACCAGUUGGAAACGACUGCUAAUACCGCAUACGCCUCGAGGGGGAAAGAUGGGGAUUUUUGGACCUAUCGCGAUUGGAUGCACCCCGGUGGGAUUAGCUAGUUGGUGAGGUAACGGCUCACCAAGGCGACGAUCUCUAGCUGGUUUGAGAGGAUGACCAGCCCCCCUGGAACUGAGACACGGUCCAGACUCCUUCGGGAGGCAGCAGUGGGGAAUAUUGCACAAUGGGGGAAACCCUGAUGCAGCCCUGCCGCGUGUGUGAAGAAGGCCUUCGGGUUGUAAAGCACUUUCAGCGAGGAGGAAAGGUGGCUAGCUAAUACCUAGUUGCUGUGACGUUACUCGCAGAAGAAGCCCCGGCUAACUCCGUG
rnacentral:rRNA from 1 species